GCCUGAUCCAGCAAUGCCGCGUGUGUGAAGAAGGCCUUCGGGUUGUAAAGCACUUUUGUCCGGAAAGAAAUCCUUGGCUCUAAUACAGUCGGGGGAUGACGGUACCGGAAGAAUAAGCACCGGCUAACUACGUGCCAGCAGCCGCGGUAAUACGUAGGGUGCGAGCGUUAAUCGGAAUUACUGGGCGUAAAGCGUGCGCAGGCGGUUUGCUAAGACCGAUGUGAAAUCCCCGGGCUCAACCUGGGAACUGCAUUGGUGACUGGCAGGCUAGAGUAUGGCAGAGGGGGGUAGAAUUCCACGUGUAGCAGUGAAAUGCGUAGAGAUGUGGAGGAAUACCGAUGGCGAAGGCAGCCCCCUGGGCCAAUACUGACGCUCAUGCACGAAAGCGUGGGGAGCAAACAGGAUUAGAUACCCUGGUAGUCCACGCCCUAAACGAUGUCAACUAGUUGUUGGGGAUUCAUUUCCUUAGUAACGUAGCUAACGCGUGAAGUUGACCGCCUGGGGAGUACGGUCGCAAGAUUAAAACUCAAAGGAAUUGACGGGGACCCGCACAAGCGGUGGAUGAUGUGGAUUAAUUCGAUGCAACGCGAAAAACCUUACCUACCCUUGACAUGGUCGGAAUCCUGCUGAGA
rnacentral:rRNA from 3 species